UCUGGCCGCUGGUUUAGCUGCUGAUUUAGCUGCUGGUUUAGCAACUGGUUUAGCAGCUGGUUUAGCUGCUGGUUUAACUGUUUGUUGCUGGUUUAACUGCUGAUUUGUUGAUGCUGUAGCUAUGUAGGUAUGACUCACUCAUCUGCGUCCUCCACAGACAGGAAGUCUGCACUCUCCCAUCCUCCGGCUGCCCCCUGCACAGGGUGAUACCUGACAUCCAGCUCCACGUACACCUGAACACAGCCAGCAGGACAGCUAAUCAGAGUAGCAUACUUUAGCAUCCACGGUGGGAACAGCAUGUAGGCUAUAUCACAGACCAGGAAUGUUGCAGAAAGCUGCUUUUAUGGUUACCAUGGAGGGAUAUCAGUGUUAAUUAACACAAAGACUGAGAGCAGAUUUAGGCUGGGUGACUGACCGGUGGCUGAACAUCUUGCUGCAGUUGUAGACGGUGAUGGACAGGACCUCGUCUCUGAUGAUCUUCCCAUAAUGAGGCCAUCGGAAGUGCUACAAACACACACACACACACUUUAUUUAUUGGAUGUGAUUUUAAACACAUACAUAUAAAUAGCAUUAACUGCUUGC